GAGGAACUAUUCUGGUUUUUAUUAGUGUUGUGAGCCACAGGAAACGUGAAGGAGGACGACUCGGUCAGUGUUUCGGGUGAAAGGCCUGGUCUGUUUGGCCACUGUCCCACGGCAAGCUGCGGUGGGUCUCAUGCAAAUGAAGUGACUGACAGACGGAACCGCGGAGCCUUGCUGCGAGCCUGCAGCAGGCUUGUGAAAGCAGCUGUCUUGGGAAGGGAAGCACGCAAAUGAGUCCGAAAUGAGCCCUCUGUGGAAGAGCUGAGGUGCAAUGACAGUGAGGAGAAACCUGGCCCACAGGUCCCAAAAGGGACAGAGACCUUCCACGCUCUGUGGAAGCUGAUCACGGCACCA
rnacentral:lncRNA from 1 species